CAAUUCCGUUCAAUUCCGCUCGGUUUCGCGAGAAAUUUUGUUGUUCUGGGUUGCUGGCCGCGUCGAUGGUGGAGAAUCCGCGGGUUUUGCGGGGUUUUGGCAUCGUUUUCCCCCAAUUUUUUGGCCUGUGUUUUAUGCGAGAAGCAGAGAAAUGCCCCGUUGUUGGUGCUCACGAGGUAGUGUUUGUGUAGCAGAGAGGAGGAGGGAGGGUAGGGGGGAAGAAGGGAGGAGGAGGUCGCGUGAGCUCAUGGAGAUGGAGAUGGAGAUGUACUCGCGGUGCGCGCGGCCAUCCCACAUCCACCAGCUGCAUGCGCGCCUCGUGGUCUCCGGCCGCCUCCGCUGCACCUCGCCGUCGCUCGCGCUCGCGCUGCUCCGCGCCGCGUGCCGCGUGCGCGCGUCGCCGUGCCUGCGUCCCCUCGCCCACCACCUGCUCGACCAUAUCCCGCGCCCGCACCCGCAUCUGCUCCACGCGGCCGCUCGCCUCGCGUACCGUCUGCGCCUGCCUUCCCUCGCGCUCCGCCACUAUGUCGCCCUCCGCACGCACCACCCGGUGUUCCUCCCUCCCGCAGCGGCCAUCGCGGACAUGCUCAAGUCUGUCCGUGGCCGCGCCGCGCAUGCCCACGCGCUACGCGUCACCGCCCACGCAGGGGACACUAGGUUCCUGGAUAACACACUUGUCGCGAUGUACUUUGCCUGUGGAGAUGUCCAGCGCGCACGGCUUGUGUUUGAGGGAAUGUGUGACCGGGAUGUCAUCUCAUGGACAUCGCUAAUCUCAGGACUAGUGCAAAAUGGCAGCCCCUUGCAAGGUAUACAGCAGUUUGCAACGAUGAUGCACUGUGAUGUACGCCCUGACUUUGUGGUGCUAGUGACCGUCGCCAAGGCGUUCAUGGAGCUUGAUAACCUGCCAGGUGCUGAAUCAGCUCAUUCCUUAGUUGUCAAGGGCGGUUUCCAUGAUGAACAAGAUGUGAUGAUCACAUUGACAGCCAUGUAUGCCAGCUUUGGGUGCUUAGUAGCUGCGAGGGCGCUUUUUGACAUGGUCCCACCCCAGCAGGUGAAUGUGAUCCUGUGGAAUGCCAUGAUAUCAGGUUACUCCAAGAAUGGAUUUGCCAGUGAGGCAGUGCAUUUAUACAAGCAUAUGCAGCUGGUUGCUAGGAACUUGGCUCCCGAUUCUAUCACUUUGCGAUCAGUAAUAUUUGCAUGUGCUCAGCUUGGCUCCACUGAGCUUGCGGCAUGGAUGGAGGAUUGUGUAUGCCGCAGUGAGUACAGGGAGGAUGUGCUUGUGAACACAGCUUUGAUUGACAUGUAUGCCAAAUCAGGGAGCAUCUCUCAUGCACGUGCAGUCUUUGAACGGAUGCAUGUGGAUGACCGUGAUGUGGUAGUCUGGAGUGCUUUAAUCACGGGUUAUGGUGUGCAAGGCCUUGUCAAUGAGGCUUGCACUUUGUUUCAGGACAUGAAGCUUGCUGGAGUAAGACCAAAUGACGUGACAUUCCUUGGACUUCUAUCAGCAUGCAACCAUGCAGGUGCUGUUGAGAAAGGAUGGAGCUACUUUCACUCUAUGAAACCUGACUAUGGAAUUGAGCCCCAGCACCAGCACUAUGCUUGCGUGGUAGACCUGCUUUCUCGUGCUGGACAGCUUGAUAGAGCCUACCAAUUUAUACUGAAUAUGCCCAUCAAACCAGAGAUGACUGUCUGGGGCGCUUUACUCCAUGGUUGCAAGAUGCACGGGCACUCAAACAUGGCCAUGGCUGAAUGCGCAGCACAGCACAUUUUUGAGUUGGAGCAGUCCAAUGCAGGGCACUAUGUUCAGCUUGCAAACAUGUAUGCAUCUGCAGGGAUGUGGAGCCAAGUCGCUGGCAUGCGAGUCACCAUGAGAGAGAGGGGUGUCACCAAGGCAACGGGGUUUAGCUUCAUCGAGGUUGAUGGAGAGAUGCACUCAUUCCAUGCUUGGGAUCACUCGCACCCGAGGGCCACCGAGAUAUUCGCCAUGCUGUGCCUUCUUUCUCCAACUCCAACCGGAGUUGGAGGGUGAAAGUUAGUUGACAGUGAGGGUGGAUGGGAAGGGUGGGAGCUGCAGUGGAAGUGGUACUGAUCAGCGGCCCAGCUCACCACGUUCAAAGCACUCUGCUACCGAGCAGCGUCGGCGCAGCAAGAUCAAUGACAGGUUUCAGAUACUUAGGGAGCUGUUACCUCAUAGCGACCAAAAGAGAGACAAAGCAACAUUUCUGUUAGAGGUUAUUGAAUACAUACGCUUUUUGCAAGAGAAAGUGCAGAAGUUUGAAGCUUCAGUCCCUGAAUGGAACCAAGAAAAUGCAAAGAUACUUCCAUGGUCAAACAUAUAUUUUAGAUCGUUCUGGAAAAAUUCACAAAGUAAAGGUCAGAACCCUGGAGAUGAUUUGCCUGAUCCUUCACAGUUCAUCCGGAAUGGGUCCUCUUCUGGGUAUAAUUUCACUGGCAAACCUGAUGAUAACCACAACAUGGUGACAUCAGCAGCUGCCUCAGGGGCACAAGAACUGGUGGAAACUGACCAUGCAGCUAGCGUGUCCUACAGAUCAGCAGAAACUCCGACAAACAUUACCAACAAUGUUACAUCCCAAGCCCAAGCCCAGUGGGCUAGUCCGGCUGGUGUGGAUGACUGUGCAAUGAACAGCGAAAUGUUAAAUAACCAACAGUUGGCAAUUGAUGAAGGAACAAUAAGCUUGUCAAGCCAAUAUUCCCAACAGCUACUUGGUACGUUGACUCAUGCCCUUGAAAGCUCAGGUGUUGAUCUGUCCCAAUCCAGCAUAUCUGUGCAGAUCAACCUUGGCAAGCGAGCUGUUAAGAGACCUGGUGCUGAUGGAUCCUCCAGUUCUAAGGAGCUCCCCAGUACAUCAGCGAACAACGAAAACAUGGGUCACCAGCUGACGAUGUUAGGGGGUGGUACUGAAGAACUUCCACACCCAACGAAGCGCCAUAAAUCGGGCAACAGCUGAUGGCGGUUCUCACUCUGUUGCAUCAUCCAGACCGAUUGAUCAUUCUUUCCUCCCUACCAACCAGCCAGGACAUUCCAGAAUUGGAUGUACAUUAUGUUAGCAGUGACGGCAUCGCGUUGAACAAGGCAGACCUUGGUGUAAUUCUUUCAUUCAAUCACUUGGCCAACCUGUUUUAAGAAAAAAAAAAGACCAAAGAAAGGCGCUUCUCAUUGUGGAUUGUGAAGCUGCUCUUGUACACAGGCUUCCAUUCCUAUGAGAAGCUCCCCCCUGACAAGACAGUCAGUCCUACGUUGUAACCUGUAUGAUAACUCAGCUGCACCUGUUAGCUAUGUGAAGUAGUAAUUCGUUGAAGUAUUCUAGAUCUCUAGUGCUUCAUUGCACAUCACUUCUCUAUCUCUGACCUAUUGUGCUGAUGAGUGAAGUAUUAAUCCUUUUCGGUUGUGA